rnacentral:rRNA from 1 species
AGUCAUAUGCUUGUCUAAAAGAUUAAGCCAUGCAAGUCUAAGUAUAAAUAUACAUAAAAUGAAACUGCAAAGAGCUCAUUAUAUCAGUUAUAGUUUACAUGGUGAUGCUUCUACUUGGAUAACCGUAGUAAUUCUAGAGCUAAUACAUGUUAACACGCUCCGACUUCGGAAGGAGUGUUAUUAUUAGUACAAGUCAACUCACAUUUGUGAUUACUUUGUGUGAAAUGAUAAUUCAACUAAUCGUGCCGCUAGCUACGAUACGCCAUUCAAGUUUCUGCCCUAUCAGCUGCGAUUCUAGUGUAUUGCACUAGAAUGGCUUACACGGGUGACGGAGGAUUAGGGUCUGAUUCCGGAGAGGGAGCCUGAGAAACGGCUACCACUUCCAAGGAAGGCAGCAGGCGCGUAAAUUACCCAAUCCUAAUACGGGGAGGUAGUGACAAGAAAUAACAAUACCGGUUUUAUACAAAUCUGGUAAUUGGAAUGAGUAUAUCGUAAAAUCUUUAGCGAGGAUCAAUUGGAGGGCAAGUCUGGUGCCAGCAGCCGCGGUAAUACCAGCUCCAAUAGCGUAUAUUAACGUUGUUGCAGUUAAAAGGCUCGUAGUCAAAUAUGUGAACCUUCUCUUAUGUAUCUAUGCUUACUGUGUAGCUGCGUAUUAAAGGUCAUCAUUUAGGUAAUCAUUGCUGCUCUUGAUUGAGUUGGCAAUGAAAUCCUGUUCAUUUACUGUGAGUAAAUCAGAGUGUUCAAAGCAGAUUGUCACGUUCCUAUGUUUUAGCAUGGGAUAAUACUAUAUGGCUUUAUUUCUACUUGACUUUAGAAAUUGAAGUAAUGGUUGAAAGGAGUAGUUGGGGGUGCUAGUAUUUAGCGGUCAGCGGUGAAAUGCUCAGACCCGCUAACGACUCUCUAAUGCGAAAGCAUUCACCAAGGAUAUUUCCUUUGAUCAAGAACGAAAGUUGGGGGAUCGAAGACGAUCAGAUACCGUCGUAGUCUCAACCAUAAACGAUACCGACUAGAUAUUGGCCGAAGUUUGUUUUCGACUCUGUCAGCGUCUUUAGAGAAAUCAAAGUCUUUAGGUUCUGGGGGGAGUAUGGUCGCAAGGCUGAAACUUAAAGGAAUUGACGGAAGGGCACCACCAGGAGUGGAGCUUGCGGCUUAAUUUGACUCAACACAGGAAAACUUACCAGGUCCGGACAUAACAAGGAUUGACAGAUUGCAGAUCUUUCUCGAUAUUAUGGGUGGUGGUGCAUGGCCGUUCUUAGUUGGUGGAGUGAUUUGUCUGGUUAAUUCCGUUAACGAACGAGACCUCAGCUUACUAAUUAGCUUUCCAAAUUUUUUUGCAGAAGCUUCUUAGAAGGACUAUCGGCGUUUAGCCGGGGGGAGUGUGAGGUAAUAACAGGUCUGUGAUGCCCUUAGAUGUUCUGGGCCGCACGCGUGCUACAAUGAUGUAUCAAGAGAGUUUCCGUGUGUAUUCAUAUAGAAAAUCUUGAAAAUCCAUCUUGCUAGGGCUUGGCGAUUGCAAUUUUUGGUCACCAACGAGGAAUUCCUAGUAAUUGCGGGUCAUCAACCCGCGUUGAAUGCGUCCCUGCCCUUUGUACACACCGCCCGUCGCUCCUACCGAUUGAAUGAUCCGGUAAACAUCUCGGAGCUAGAACGUUUUACGUUCCCGUGAAGUUAUGUAAACCUUAUCAUUUAGAGGAAGGAGAAGUCGUAACAAGGUUUCCGUAGGUGAACCUGCAGAAGGAUCA